AAUCACUAACUUCACUGCCAUC
rnacentral:ncRNA from 2 species